rnacentral:tRNA from 1 species
UCUCUGACAGUCCAGUGGUUAAGACUUUGCACUUCCACUGCAGGGGGUGCAGGUUUGAUCCCUGAUUGGGGAA